CACUGCCAGGAAACAGAAACAGCCUAGGGAAACUGGAAAAGACCUGAUAAUCCCUGCAUGUAAUGUCUGCCUGAGCAGGUGAGGAGCCAGGCAGAGCCACAUACUGCAAAUUCUGUGGAGCUCCAGGAAUACCACGUCCUUAAUUCAACCUUUGUGCAUGAGGAGCGGAGACCCUACCUCCCUACACUGGGUCAGAAGCCUCAUUUUGUGGUUACAGGGCAUGUGGAGAAGAUCAGCUGUGAUUACAGAAGGAUUAGUACACAGAAACUGACCCCAUACAAUGCAACAAUCAGAUCCUACCACUUCAUUCAGGAUUACUCUGAUUCUCAUAAAUGCAGCGAUGUCUUCUUCCUGAAAGAAAAGUGUGUCAAACUGUCUUGGUGAUGGAAAAAUCUAAACCAAAACUGUUAAAUUCAAUCCCAUCAAAGAAAAGGCAAACAUCUAAGAGCCACAAAGCUGGGAUUUUGACUCACGGUGUGAAGCAAGAUGUAUUUUGACACAGAGGACAACCUGAUUGAAAGAAUUUACUUUCUGUGAAUCAAACAAUGAUUUUGUCCUGGAUGGGAAGCCUGUGAUGUAUUACAACACAUUUUAAACACCUUUUUAUUAUACAAUGAAACAUUUUCAUGGUUGCUGUACUGAUUUUUACAAAAUGUGUAGGGACGUAUUUUUCUGGAGGAGCUGCAUAAAAAUACCAUAGAAUUUGCACAGCUGUCCAGGAAUGUGGCUUGUUACAUACAAAGUCACUGGAAGGGAGAUAUGACUACUGCUUCAUCAGCUGACCUGGAAGAACAUGCCAAGAACAUCACAAUUAACCUAUGGAGAAAUGAAAUUCAAUAACACAAUGGUACAGGGGGAAGUUGGAUAUUCUCCUUUUGGUAACUGGUUAUCUUAAUAUGAUCUCAAGUUACUGCACAGUGAGUAGAUGUUAAUGUGAACCAGUGACUUUGGAUCUUCUUCAGAAGAAAGGACAGAAAGGACAAGGAACGUCCGCCAGAAACCCUGGAUGAAGUUGCCUCUUGUUUCCCACUGCUGAUUGUAAAAGAGAGGCUGAGUUUCCCUGGACCUGUAACUAUAACUUUCCAUCUGGAAAAAAGCCCUUUGAUGGGAACAGGAGUAUUUACACUGCUCUGAACGGAGCUUGAACUAAGACUUGCUGACUGUAGGAGUCACUACAUGCUGUGCUCGUGAAUUCGCCAACACUCGCGUUACAUCUUGUUUGAUCUCUACUCAAAUUUCCUUAUACACUAUCUGAAGAAGUUAGCCUCAAAUUUGGUCCAAAGUUAGCAGCUGCAGUGGCUGGCUCCCAGUGUUGCGAUCCAGUGGGUUGCAGUUGUCUGUACAUGACUGCAGCCAGACUGCAGUAACCCAUAAAGGCAAUAGCCACAGCAGGAAAUGCUUUCUCUGCUUCAUACUGCCAAAGGAGUUGGAUGUGGUAACAAGCUGAGAUGGGAAUGAUUUUUACAGCUAUUUCUUCUGUCCUCUUGCCUCACCCCUCCAGCUGUAUCCUGUGAAAAAGAUGUCCCUUCUUUCCCAAGAGCAUCCAUAGGCAUUGAGACAAGCAGUCACUGAGAAAUAUGGCAGCAGGAUGAUGUUGCCAAGCCAUGGACAGAGAGGGUCUGCCUCCCUCCUCCUCCUUCAUGUAUUCUCAAGGCCAAGAGUUCAAUUUGAGGUGAUCUUGUGAAGGAGGAGACAAUUUCUGAGGAAGAAGCAACUUGGGCAGAUGGAAGAAUUUUAGAACAAUAAUUUUCAUAAAUGGUGCCACAUUAGUUUAGACAUUUUCAGAGAGCAUUUUUAAUGUAUGAAGUAUUGUUUCUCAUAUUCCUUCAAUCAUGCUCAAAAUUAUAAACUUAAAAGACUUCCAUGAUUUAGAAACCUAUGGAAAGAGGUGGUACUUGAUCAAGGUUUGUUUUAAAGAUAAUGAUGACUUUUAAAUCUUUGUGCAGACAUGAUGUUGUGGGGAAGAAAGAAAUUAGAAAGUUGCAGUUUUGCAUAGUGUAUAUCUCUGAACAUCGAGAGAUGUCAGAAUAUUUCAAAAUGAAAUAGAAUGGGAUUCACAUAACACUGAACAGUCCCUGUCUGAAACACUAUUAGGAGGUUACCCAACCCCUCAUAACUCUGUUGAUUCCACCUUGAUGACAUCCUUGAUUACUGUCAUGCUGCAAAUCCUGCCUGUAUCCUACAUGCUUUUGAUUGUAGCAAUAUUAUGAGCACCAUAUGAAUUUACACUAAGCAGGAAGUAAGAGAUUAUCGCUGCCAGAAACUGAUCUCAGGCACUGAAGGAAAACAAACCAUUAUUUUCCCCUUGAAGCAGUACUUCUUCCUUUUGCCUUCAUGUGCCUUGUAUACUGUUUUUAUUCAUUGUGUAAAUACAAGUGUAAGAAGUGCUACAUAAAGUAUAUUGCACUUGCUAAACCUUAAACCAUGCUAAAAUAUCCUAGUGGGCUGAAAGAUACUUCUCCAACAACUCUCAUUAUUCAUGGAUCAUUGAUAUGAUAGACCCUAAUAGCUUCCUCAAAGCCAUUACAAUGUGCUAUAUAUAAAUGCAAGCCCUUAAUCCAUGGAUCAUUGGCAUGAUAAAAUGCAACAUGCAUUUAAAACCCUUGCAGUCUGUCAAGUGAAUGCAUGCUAUUAGAGAUCUUUAAUUUGUGGAUUAUUGCCACAACUGAUCAUUACACUUCCUCUGGGGCUGCUAUGGUCUAUCCCAUUAACAUAUGAACAUGAACCCUAAUCCGUAGAUUAUUGAUAAAAGUAGUUUCAUCUGUUUUGUCAAAAAGGACUCUGCAGGGUUGAAGGAUCACUCACUUAUAGGCUCUCCUAGACUCUUUAUUCUUUAGUUCAAUGAUUUACAUUUUAAUUUCUUUCUUUUUGCUGUUUGCUUAUGCAAACAAACAAAUUCAUGUGUUCAAAAUGUUUUUUUUGUACAUCUAAGAAAAUUGGGACUUUAGCUUUCACUUCUAAUAUUUGUGAGAUCCAGCAAAAAAUGACACAGGCAAAAAUAUGUGCUCUGCCUUGAAAGUGUGAUCCUGAGACUUCUGUAUUCUAUGAACACCGAUACUACUAUAUUUUGUGUGGCAGAGAUAAUAAAAGCAUUCCUGAAAAAACAUAUCACACUUCUAUGCAUACCUGUAAUGAACACUUUUAAACACACUGCCUCAUACAAUUCCUCUAUUAAAAUUCCUAAAGUUAUCAACCCAGACCCUAUGGAUUUGUAGUCUUGAGAUUAACCUUUUAAUGUUUAACUAUUAGAAAAGUUCUUAUUGUUGUCCAGUGCCAUUCAGCUAUUUCUGGCCUGCAGGCAAUAAAAUGGCUAAAUCUCACCUCAUAAAGCCCCAUAGCUUACAUUCUUGACUGUUCCUGGCAGUAUUGCAAUGAUAGGCAGCUGAGGUGGGAAACUGAUGGACUAGAGAAUGGCUCAGAGUACCACACCUCCCAGGCUGCUAGGUAGCAAAAGGAUCAAAUCCAAGUCUCUUAUGUUGCUUGAAUUCCCAGCUGGGACACAGCUGCACUGACCUGGCUGCUUACCUUCCCUGAAAACUUGCCUUUCAGUUUCAGCAAAACAUUUCUCAACAAGAGACAAAAACAGUCUGCUUAGCUGGAAAAUUUCUAAUUACCUAUUCUGCCUCUCACUCAGUUCCCUGUUACCAUGGUUUGGAUAGACCCCUGGAUGGGUCCAAGUCAUGUCAAUGAGGCAUAUGUCUAGUACGGCUGCAGUGACUGGAGAAUCUCAGGUCUCAUUAAAAGAUUUUCUUUUUUAGCCUUGGUGGUUGCUAAGAAAAACUUGGAAUGUGAACUAAAUACAGCAGCUUUACUUACAGCUGCUUGGAGACACAAAAGAGGAGCAGCAGAUGGUGAAGCAGCAGUGGUUGCUAGCGCAAAAAGCCAGCAAGAAAGCCACUUGCUCCCACAUCUGCAGAAACAGGCAUAGUUCUCAUUUUCUGGGGGCUGAUGUGAAAGGCUGGCUCAGAGGAAAAAUCUGCCCAAGGAAUGGACAUGGGAAGUGAGCAGAGAUGGUUGUGGCAAUAACAACAGUGAAUAGGAUCAGGAAGAAAGUUUACUCACCCUUCUCUGCCUCAUCACCUGUCUCAGAGACUCAGAUGUUUUCUGCUAUCAGCGAGGGUAUUCUGUUUCCUAUCUUAAAAGUUCUUAUCUAGUCUAAAACUGCUGAUCUUGUUUUUUUAAGAGAUAACUUCCAUUGUAGUUAAGAUUUCUGAUUUUGUAAAGCCUGCAUCCUUUCACAAUGAAGGAUUGCCACAUAAACUCUGUAGCAGCAUAGUGUAAGAUAUGUGAAUUCCUUUAGCCCUUUUUUCUAGUCUUCUAUGAGCAAAAGAUAGCAAAAUCAAUUUAAAGUACAUAGAUACGAUAAAUAAAAUGUGUGUGUGGAGGGGGGGAGAGAAACAUCUCAGCUGAAGCACAUGUGGAUUUUCAGCUAAGAGCAUGUAUUUUUAGAUAUCAUUACAGCUUCUCAGUGUAGGUAGUUUAGGCUCCAGACCUGACUUAUGGUAAAAUGAUCACAAUCUGAUGGCGAUAACCUCAGCAAGUUAUUUUAUUUACCUUCUCUCCAUGCUAUUAGAAGAGCAAAUGUUAAAAUUCCAUUGAUUUUAGGGAAUGUAAACAAAUUAUUAUAACUAAUGUACUACUAUUUGCCUUUACAGCAGUGCUCAGUGUAACUCCACAAAAUUACUUUCCAGGGUGCAGUUCUUCAUUAGAAUUAGUCUGAAGGCAAAUCUGUAGUGAGAGGCUCCCACUGCAGACUUUUGCCUCACCACAGGUUGCUGCCCUCUCGGAUGUAUUUGUUCAAGAGUUUGUGUAUCUGUGCUCUAAAGCAGAGCAGUGAAAUGACCUUCAGUGCACACAGCACUUGUUUUCCAAACCCUACUGUUUUCACUGGUCACAUUUAUAAAACAGACCAUGUGGUGCUGGAUAGGAAUGUACUGUGUAGUGGAAGGGGAACCUGCCUGUGCAAGGAUGGGACAGAGGCCUCUGAAAUGGUUUUCAUAGAGCCAUAGAAUUGUAGACUAAGUUUUUUGUUGAAGAGACCUUAAAGAUCCUUUAGUUCUAGACCCUCUGCCAUGAGCAGGGGCAUCUUCCAAUGAUCUCAACCAACCUGGCCUUGAAAGCUUCCAUGGAUGGGAUUUUCACAACUUUGCUGGGCAACUUUUUCAAGUAUCUCACUACACUCAUAGAGAAGUAUUUCUUCCUUAUAGCUAAUCCAAAUCCACCCUCUUUCAGCUUGAAGCUAUUUCUCCUUGUCUUAUUACUACAGUUUGCUCAGGCUGUGCUCCAGCUCACAGACCAUGGUGCUGACAAAGAUGUUAAACAGUGCCAGCACCAGUACUGACCCCUGAUGAAUGCCACUCAUCACUGUCCUCCACUGGUUUUGUAGAGACACAGGUCAUAAUAUUGGAUAUUAUAUGGUGAUUGUACUCAUAUUAGUGGGACUAGAAUGAAGCAUUUGAGGUGUUUUGUUCUGUAUAUUCUUGCACACAUAUUUUGAGUUGUGUGUAUGUCUGAGCAACUGGGAUAAUUAAAAAUGCUCUACUAUUUUUUUUCAGAGAUAAAAAAAAUAUGGAAAUAAUGUAAAAAUACUGUAUUUGUUUUCCUUUUUCCAGUGACCUUUAGGAGCAUUCUGUGAAUGAAAAAUUCAAUAAAAAUAAAUGUUUUAAAAUGGCCUGGAUUUUCCCUUUAAAUUAUAGCAGUGCUACUGGCUGUUGCAACAUUAAAUGCUCACAUGAAGUUGCUUAAUGAUAUCUUGUUAGUGAUGGAAGAUAAUGAGAUGAUAAGGACAAAAUUCAUUGACCUUUCAAAGCUUUUGAUUCACUAAAUGACACUGUUAGAUAAGCUAAUUAAAUUUUGCUUUUUCUACUAGAAUGAUGGCUUGGUUCAGAUCUUAUUUGAUUAAGAGGAAAAAUCAGUGGCUGUUUCAGGCUAUCAUUCUGAUUUAUAACUAUUACUAUUGAAAGGUACCCUAGGGCUCAAGAGCUGAUUUACUUCUUCUUCUUUUUAUUUAGUCCUAAAUUAUCUCUAAGAUAUUUGUGAUAAUACCUAAAUUCACUUACAUGGUAUUUGACAAUACUAUUUUGUACAAUUGUCCUGUAAUAUCUCUGCCUUAAUAUGCUUGCUUCCAAAAUCACUGUAAUAAAAGCAUCUUGAAAGACAA